CGGUGGAUGUGCAGGUAAUUUUAGAUUAUGGUGCAAAUUUACUCCCGCAUGAAUUUUUUUUCUGAUUUCUUAUUAUCCAUCAUUAUUUCACAAGUAGGUUUUUAUAAAAUCAUUUUCAAAGAGGUAGCAAUGAUGCAAUCGAUAUGAAACACUGUAGAAUUUCCUUGUGUUGACCAUAUAUCAGCCAAAAAACAUUCUGGAACCACAUCAGCAU
rnacentral:lncRNA from 1 species